rnacentral:snRNA from 1 species
AGAUGUGAAGGUGACCCGGCUGCAACAUCUGUCACCACGAUGAUCAUCAAGAUUCAUUCAGCUGAUCUACUUGGGUGGGCAGGUGUCUGCUUCCUUCUUCAUCUCUCCAAUUGAAUUGAGCAGGAUGAACUUCCCUGAUUGAGAAGUGUGCUUGAUGGGAGGAUGUUCAGAUAUUCAGAUAUGAAUAUCUGUGCUGUCCUAUUAGAAUCUCCAAAGCUCUUCGGAGGACUUCAUACCCAAGUAAGUCUGAGUUACACAAAUGGGCACACUUACAAAAUGGGGGGUACUGUUCUAUUAGGCCAUUUU